UUGAGGAGAGUACGUGAAGCAAGAGAGAAAAUGAGGAGAGCUGAUAUACUUCUAUACCAGAAAGUAAAAUAUUAGUGAGAAUACCACUGAUACUUUAAGACAGUUUAAGAGACUCCUCAGCAACCUCAUCCACUUCCUGAAAUGCACUCUGAGUCACUCCUGCUCUGCUCCUGGUCCUCAGGGUCCCGGAACUGGGCUCUUCCAACCACACAUGGAGCUGCUCCCCAGAGCUGUCUGGAGCACAGGAAGCAUGGCUUUCUCUGUGGCUUCUCCAUGGGGAAUGCAGCGCAUGUGCCGUGAGAUGAAGAUGGAUGAGCCGCAGGAUGGCUUGGAAAAGGGAUCUAAACGUUCAACUCAAAAAGAGUCAAAUCUGAGUAUAGUCUGUCAUUCCAAAAGAAAACAAGCACAGAAGGACCACGAUCACAGACAGCCAGAAGGCAUAGGAAGUGGGCCAUUAAUCACAGGAGGCAGAGCUGCAGAACACAGCAAUGGCCAAGAAAAGAGAAGACACGGAGGGAACCCAGUGACAGCAAGAAGACAGAAAAUGGCAUCAAGACCUCCAGGGAAGAAUUCACAUCCUUUGAACUGACAGAGGUGUCGAGGUCUUGGGGUUAAAUUUUAGUAACUGUCCCGCUGCAGCAUUCAGAAAAUUGGGGAGUGGGGGCUGGGUAGUAAAUCAGGGUAAGGGGUGAUCCUUGAGGGGGAAUGGUCCCAAUUCUCCCUGGACUUUCAAACUUAUGCUUUUCUCAUAUCUUUUUUGGCACACGUUUAUUUUGUUGAAUUAUAAAAAUAACAUACCUAAUUGUCACAAAGUAUCUAACAAUUUAAUAAAAAUUAAGUCAUGAUCAGUUCUCACUUAACCAUGUGACUUCACAUUGCUAACAUUCCUGAACCAUCUCUUCCACAGCCAGAUGCUGUCCUUAAUCCUAGAGAAUGCCUUUGUAUCCUGGAAAAUGUUCCCAUAGUUCAGAGUUACUUCUCCCUUGGCUCUUACUGGUUCAUCUCUACAGAGCGGCAUCUGAAUUUCUCUCGUUGCUAUUGCUUUAGCAAAAUUCCUGAAAUUGGAUAUUUUAUAAAGACGAGAGAUUUAUUUAUCUCACAGUUUUGGAAGCUGAAAGCUCAAAAAGCAUGAUGCUGGCUCUGCUCAGGCUCCUGCUAUGUCGUGGCAUGAGACAUCACAACAGGAAUAUAUGAGAGAGGUAGUGUCAUGGUUUAUGUUUGUGUCCCCCAGACCUCAUGAGUUUGCAUUGUUCAUAUGUGAUGGUUCAUUGUCUAGUGCUUGGAUUGAUGGUGUCAGUGCUCCACCCACAUAGGGGUGGAGCCAGGAUGUGAUGUAAUGGCAGGAAGAAGGUGUGUUUUUCUCUUUGCUGGUUCGAGUUUGCUGUUGGCGGCCUCCAUGAACCGCAGCCCAGCCAUGCCUGCCUGUCUUGGAGCCACCUGAGUGUGGACUGAAACCUCCAAAAACUGUAAGAAAUAAACCUUUCCUUUCCCAA